rnacentral:tRNA from 1 species
GCCGGGAUGGCGGAAUGGUAGACGCGACAGACUCAAAAUCUGUUGUCCGUAAGGGCGUGCGGGUUCGAGUCCCGCUCCCGGUA